AGAGAGCUUGAGAAGCCCUGCAAAUGGAUGGGCAAAUUGGAGACCUGAGAUGACACACUAAGGCGCAAGGCAGCUGCACAUCCACGGCCAGCCUCGUUGUCUUCAGGGAUUUGUUCAAAGUUCAUUCUGAAUUGUAAGGUAACCACUGCAGAACACGAGCCUUUCCUGGGUAUGUGUGGUUAUUUCUGCCCUUCACGGUCCCACUCAAGUCCUGCCUCCCUCAGGGAGACCUCCCAGACCUCACCAAGCCGUGGGCACGUGGACCAGAAGCCGUGGACCCCAGAGGCUCAUUUAGGGAUCUGCUUUCUGAACCCAGGUCCUAACAUCUGCACUGCAGCGAGCAUUUCUGGUGCCUCAAGUGAGUCACUCCAACUUCCAGCUCACUGAGAGGCGAUGGAGCACUGAGUGCCAGCAUCUUCCAGCACCAGAGGAGCUGACUCUGAAUAGACAGCUCGGCAGCGGCCUCAGCACAGAGCAGGGGUAAGGGUGGGGCCCACCUGCACUUCCUGGCCGCCUGUUCCCUAAGUGCAUAUUGAUUGAAUAGCGCUGCCUCAGAACUAGGCUGCCUGAGUUUGAAUUAGGCGCUGGUGUUAAUUAGCUGUGUGAUCUUGGGAGCCACCAGCCACAGGCAGCCACUGAGCCCUUGGCAUGUAACCCGGUAACCCAUGCAACAGAAGACCUGAGCGUCCAGUGUUGCUAGCUUGAAGUAACUUCAGUGGUGUUCCCCAGCGUUUUUCUCAUCCCCCUCCCUUCCCUUCCCCUACAGCUUUCUUCCUCUUUCCCCUCCUUCUGAGUCUUUCGUCCCCAGUCCUGGGAACCUUUUUUCUGACUUGGUGUUUUCUCCUGAAUGCCUCCUUCCUGGCCCCCUAAUCAGAAAUGCAGAAGCCACCUGCCCCACACAGGGGGCCACUUUCCCUGCAUCUGGCACUCACCAGGACAGUCAUAGAACUGGCCUUGGGUGCUUGGGGAGAGUGGAGAGGUCUGGGGGGCAUCCACUGGCCUCAGCCUCAGAGCUUCUCAUCAGUAACCCAGGAGGCAAAGGCCCAGCUCAAGAUUAGCCCAGGCCACUGUAUCUGUGCCAAGACCUACAGCUGUCCCUGCAGGGCGUGCAUCUCUGCAGCCCAGGCUAUCACAAUGGUGUCCCUUUUGGUGGGGAUGUGAGGCCUGCUGCUGCCUGGGAAGAAGCUGACAGGAUUGUUGGUGCUGUGGGGAGAAGCUGGUGUAACUGAGACCCAUGAGGGAGGCCCUUUGUGGGUCUGUGGCUGGGAGGAGCUCUGGGGAAGAUGGGCCUUGAGAAAUCCCAGCUUAGCACCUUUGACAGUUGCUCCACUGAGUCACCCUAGACUGCAAUCUCACAGAUGUUCUAACCACCCUCUCCCUGGGGAGCCCUUGGGGGUGCUGCAAGCCCAGUCCUCACUCACUGGCUUUGUGCUUCUCUUCCCGACUUCCUUUUUUUGCUCCUGUUGAGAAAUGUGGGUCCAGGGCUGCGUGCUCCAGUGUGCGGAAGGAAGGGCAGCGUGCUCUUUGGACUGAGCUGGCUCAAGGGAAGCUGGGUCUGAGGGGAGACUGACCUCGACCCUUCUUAAAUGAAACACCUUUUCCCUGCGUCUCAGUCACCGUUACCUGGCCUGAUCACUGUGUGCCACACCCCAUCACAUCCAUCCCCACAAGAAUGCCAGGAGGAGGGGUCAUUGGCCUUUUUGUCAGCACAAACCUCUGGAGGCCCAGCUCCCAAGACCCGCCAGGCACACCUGCCAGAGUGCCUUAACUUGGGAUGUCUGCAAACCUCUGUCCAUGGCCGAACCCACCCCACUGCCUGUUACUGUAAAUAAAGGUCUAUUAGCAUGCCACCAUGCCCCUCCUCCGAUGCAUACAGUGCCCAGCUCAGCACCUGGUGCAAGUAAGCACAAUCUGGCUUCCAGCCAUCACUGCUGUUGCUACUAACACAAAUAUUAGGCCCCUUCUAGAAUGCAAAGAUAACCCAGGGCUGCUCGUUCUGUGUCCAGAUCACAGAGUUUUUCUUUUUAUCCUUAUCAACUUUAUUGAGGGAUAAUUUACAGGCAAUAAAUCAUAUCCAUUUAAAGUUAUUGUCAAGCUUUUAAAGAAUUAAAGUUCGUCUUCUUCAGAAGCUUACCGAGGACUACAGGCUGUGGCGUAGAGCCCUGGAGCAGCCUCCACUGAGGUUCUGUAUUUCAGGUCACAGUUGACAUAUAGGUGGGAGGUCCAGUACGUGCAAAGUCACAUGAAAGCUUGGGUGUCAGAGUGCAUCAGGUUAUGGAUUCAAUUACAGAGCAAUAAUCACUGACCCUGUCAGAUGUUAUCUUACGUGUAGGAAAAGGUAAGACCAGGGCCAUUUAUCUGCAAAGAAUAUAGUGACUCAGGCAAGAGUCCGGAGAGGGUGUGUGCUCCAUCCUGUUUUGUCUUCAGAGCAUCUUUCUGGGGAGCUGCACAUCGUUAUAGAGACAGGCACUUUGUGAAAUUCUGCUGCCAAGCACAAAUGAGCAAACGUGGUUUCCUAUGUUUACUACUUUGUCUCACAAAGCGCACAUUCACAGUGCAUUAUUAAGGGGCCCUGGCAGCACCGCCACAGUGUAUCUCUGCUCCCUCUUAAAGUUCCCCGUGCCCCUUGGCAGACAGGCCCCUCUCACUCCUGGGCCCAGGCUACCAUUGACCAGCUUUUUGCCACUAGAGGUUAAUUUUCAUUCUAUGUGAUUGGAAUCAUACAGAUGUUCUUGUAUCUGACUUAUUUCACUCCACAUAGUGAUUCUGAGAUUCAAAUGUUGUGUGUAUCAGUUGUUUGUUCCUUUUUAUUCCUGAAUGGGAGAGGGGAUGUCAAGCUGCACAGUUUUAUUCCUGGGCUACAGUGGAGAUGGAUGGUUCUACCGUCUCUCUGAAACACCAUCUGCAGUUUCUUCAAAAUCUACCUACACAUCUUCCAUCCCAUCCUGAGGAGUCCCCGAGGGUUGAGAAAUGCAUGACCCCACACCUGGCUGACGUGUACAACUGGCGGAGUUAGUUUUUCCUGUUGACACUGGCCACGGGCGCCUCAGCAUGCACAGCCCUGGCCUUGCUCCUCUAGGCAUGCUGGGGGCUUGUCCACACGUGUGGUCUACGGAUGGAGGAGAGUGGCCUCUGGCCCAUGCGUGCCAUGCACUGGACCUUCCCAGGGAAUCAAGUUACAUGAUGUUUCCUUGAGGAGCUACAUACAAAGUAAAAAACUGAAAUCAAGAAUAUCAGUCAUUUCUGAAUAUGCCAAUUCGCCCAUGGUGCAGUUUGUACAGCUUAAUCACUGCAGAACAGUUUUGAGGAUAAAAUUAACCAAAAACCUAAGUAGACAAAAUAUUCAAAUUUUUGGAAUCUGUCACAAAAAUCCACAGAUGACUUAUUUUCCAUUGUAGCUUAUAAUGUCCAAAAGCCUUUCUAGUGACUUAUAACUGAUGGUGAGCUCCCACUCUGUGGCAGCUGUGGGACACUGGUCUAAGGACUACACCCUGAUGCCUGGUGAGUUACAGAGGCCAUGAGAAGAUGUCAGUGAACCUGAAAGCCAGGGAGAGGCUGUGUUCCUGCCGGACUGUGGGGCUCCUUCGCUCCCCUGCUGUGGCCCUUGGUCAGGCCACUUUCCCUCUCUGGGUGUCAGUGGCUUCAUCUACGAAGUGAUAAAAAACUAAUGCAAACCAGAGCAAAAUGAGAUAACACGGGGACCCCUAAUGUCCCAGGGAGAUGGUGAACUGAAGCACCGCGUGCGGUGAGUUGUUGCUGUCUCCACCCCUCAAGGAGACCGCAGCUUUGCAGACGUGUGGGUCCCAUCAUCGGCCCCAUUCUACAUUCCUCCCUGUGUCCCUGCCAUCGCCAGGUGACUUUGCUGGGCCCUCCCACCGCCCUAACUCCCAAUCCCAAGAUCUUCAGUGAACGUGACGCGCACAGCAGAGGCCCAGAAUGUAUGUGUGCAUGUGGUGACAGCUAAGCCUGCCUGGAGCAGAGCCCCAACCCUGCAGCAGCUCAAACAAGCUGAGAUCAGCAAAUGCACAUCUGACUCUCAGACAUGGGGGCAAUAAUAAUAAAUGCUGUUUGAGUUUUGGGGUCUUUGGCUACACAGCAAUUGCUCACCAAUAUGACAGGGUUGUAUGACGUGGCCAUGCGGAACUGUAUUAUAGGGGAAGUGGUGAACAGUGUGAUGAGAUUUUAAAGAGGAACAGAUUUACCACUGACUUUAGAAAUCAUGGAGGAGAAAUCUCUGGGGUUGCCCUUGAAGGGUGUGUGGAGGAGGACAUGGGAGAAGGGGGAAGAACCGUGGCAUCCUGGCUAAACAGACACAGGGCAGAGGGAGCCUCUGUGUUGGGACUAAGAUGGGGAUGUCGGGGAAGGGACAUGGCAAGCUGACUGUUGGUG
rnacentral:lncRNA from 10 species